rnacentral:rRNA from 1 species
UACGGAGGGAGCUAGCGUUGUUCGGAAAUACUGGGCGUAAAGCGCACGUAGGCGGCGCAGCAAGUCAGGGGUGAAAUCCCGGGGCUCAACCCCGGAACUGCCCUUGAAACUGCAGUGCUAGAAUCUUGGAGAGGUCAGUGGAAUUCCGAGUGUAGAGGUGAAGUUCGUAGAUAUUCGGAAGAACACCAGUGGCGAAGGCGACUGACUGGACAAGUAUUGACGCUGAGGUGCGAAAGCGUGGGGAGCAAACAGG